CAAGACUAUUGUUUCAAUCCAGAUACGGCCAGAACUGAGUUUUGCUUAAGGCAAGAAUCAGAGUCAAAUUUUUUUUCUCUCAAAUAUCUCUGACUGACACCUCAAAUUAAAUGGUUUGUACCUGAGACUUAAUUGAAAUCUCUCUAGAGCUUAUAAAUACUGACUGGGGAUCAUUAUUCAAUUUGUUAUUUAUAAAAUAGGUUGGGGCAUUUGGGGUUAAACAUGUUUUCGUAGGUAAAUAAUAUGGUGGAACAUUUUCUCAUGAGAGUGUAGUAGUCUAUAGAGUAUUUACUAUUACUUUCUGUUUGGUGGAAUAGUGAAAUAGAGGUAAAUACGUUCUUGCUCAAUCCUGUGUCGCUAUGAAGGUUUCAUGAUUGUCAUGACAUCCUCAGCCUAAGCAAUGUGUUACUGUAAUUUGAAUUUCAAAAUGACCGAGUGACAUUUUUUCAAUGCACUGGUCACCUCCACCAUAGCAAAUCACAUGACUUUGACAAUCAGUUAAUAUCAGCUAAAAUAUCUUUAUAAGUAAAGAAUUGUCGUAUUUAUAAAAAUUAAAUACACGGG
rnacentral:lncRNA from 1 species